GACGAACCGUGCAAACGUUGUUCGGAAUCACUGGGCUUAAAGGGCGCGUAGGCGGUCAGGCAAGUCAGGGGUGAAAGCCCACGGCUCAACCGUGGAAGUGCCUUUGAUACUGCCUGUCUCGAGGGAGGUAGGGGCGUGCGGAACUUCCGGUGGAGCGGUGAAAUGCGUAGAUAUCGGAAGGAACACCGGUGGCGAAAGCGGCGCGCUGGACCUCUUCUGACGCUGAGGCGCGAAAGCCAGGGGAGCAAACGGG
rnacentral:rRNA from 1 species